rnacentral:rRNA from 1 species
AUUGAACGCUGGCGGCAUGCCUUACACAUGCAAGUCGAACGGUAACGCGGGGCAACCUGGCGACGAGUGGCGAACGGGUGAGUAAUGUAUCGGAACGUGCCCAGUUGUGGGGGAUAACUGCUCGAAAGAGCAGCUAAUACCGCAUACGACCUGAGGGUGAAAGCGGGGGAUCGCAAGACCUCGCGCAAUUGGAGCGGCCGAUAUCAGAUGAGGGAGUUGGUGGGGUAAAGGCCUACCAAGCCGACGAUCUGUAGCUGGUCUGAGAGGACGACCCGCCACACUGGGACUGAGACACGGCCCAGAGUCCUCCGGGAGGCAGCAGUGGGGCAUUUUGGACAAUGGGCGCAAGCCUGAUCCAGCCAUGCCGCGUGCGGGAAGAAGGCCUUCGGGUUGUAAACCGCUUUUGUCAGGGAAGAAAAGACUCCUGUUAAUACCGGGGGUUCAUGACGGUACCUGAAGAAUAAGCACCGGCUAACUACGUGCCAGCCGCCGCAGUAACAC